ACUACUACGCUGUUAUCCAACUUGCUUUUUCCUACAGAGGACACCACAGUAACAUCACCACUAACUCUAACCUGUCGAGCUUUCCUCUUCCAACUCGUGGUCUUCUAGGCAAUAUGAGAUAGUGGAGAACUAAUGCAAAUGGGAAAGGAAAGGAUUGUAAUAUGCAAAGCUAUAUGUGAAGGUGGUGUAGUGUUAUUAGAAGAAACCAAAUCUGGACAAUUUGCAGAAGAA
rnacentral:misc_RNA from 1 species